CCCCUCUCAGGGUCGCACCCGCAGAGUUUCCAGUCCUCUACCAGUCUCGGCUAUGGGAGGGAGAGUCAAGCAGAGAGUCAAGUCCAUUCCAUUCCUAGCUUGGGCAGUGGCUAGCGAGUGGAAGGCCAUCUGCUACAAGU